rnacentral:rRNA from 1 species
GACGAACGCUGGCGGCGUGCUUAACACAUGCAAGUCGAGCGGUAAGGCCCUUUCGGGGGUACGACGAGCGGCGAACGGGUGAGUAACACGUGGGUGGACCUGCCCUCAGCUCUGGGAUAAGCCUGGGAAACCGGGUCUAAUACCGGAUAUGACUCCAUGACGCAUGUUGUGGGGUGGAAAGCCUUGUGCGGCUGAGGAUGGGCCCGCGGCCUAUCAGCUUGUUGGUGGGGUGAUGGCCUACCAAGGCGACGACGGGUAGCCGGCCUGAGAGGGCGACCGGCCACACUGGGACUGAGACACGGCCCAGACUCCUACGGGAGGCAGCAGUGGGGAAUCUUGCGCAAUGGGCGAAAGCCUGACGCAGCGACGCCGCGUGAGGGAUGACGGCCU